rnacentral:rRNA from 1 species
AAGUCGUAACAAGGUUUCCGUAGGUGAACCUGCUUAAGGAUCAUUAUCGAAUUGAAAAAGGAGCUUUUGCUGGCGGGGGCUCCUCNCAUGUGCACGCUUGUUUCUUUCUUACUUCUCCAACUGUGCACAAAUGAUAGACCUUGGUCUAUGUCUUUCACAAUCUCUGAAUGUAAUUUGAAAUCUGGGGAAUAUACAUACAACUUUCAGCAACGGAUCUCUUGGCUCUCGCAUCGAUGAAGAACGCAGCGAAAUGCGAUAAGUAAUAUGAAUUGCAGAAUUCAGUGAAUCAUCGAAUCUUUGAACGCACCUUGCGCUCCUUGGUAUUCCGAGGAGCAUGCCUGUUUGAGUGUCAUUUGAAACCUCUCAACCCACUUUUUUCUGUGGCUUGGAAAUGGGGGCAAAAGUGCAGGCCUUUUUUGUGUCUGCUCCCCUGAAAUGCAUUAGCGGUGUUUGCUACACAGGUGUGAUAAUAGUUCAACGCCUAUUUGCUGCCGCUUCCAACAAUAAUUGAUGAUGACCAACUUGACCUCAAAUCAGGUAGGACCACCCGCUGAACUUAA